GUGAAUAGGUGUGUGCAGACGUGUGGCCAUGUAGCUUGCUUUGGUUGGCUCCAUGGAUGCCACACAUAAAUGUGAUAUUUUGUGGCGACAGGAAAACUAUUAUUAGUCCAGUGUGUCAGACUGCACGCUGGAGGCAGUGUGUUUGAUGAGCUUAAUUCCCUGCUGUCUUGAAUAAAAAACUGGUGAGCAGUGUGAGGCAUUCUGUUGAGCAGGGGAGAGGAGACCUGAUAACAGGGAGUUGUUAGAAGGCGGGGAAAUGUCCCACUGCCUUGAGUUAGAGGUGAAAACGCAUCACUGCCACCUUUGCCCCCUGUACAUGGAGGACAAGGAGACGUCAUUUCCACCUGAUGCAGGGGACUCAAAAGCAUAGAUGGAAAACUGAAGGAUAAUUAAUGGUUUGCCCAUUUAGCUACCACGUCCUCUUCAUCACAACUUCAGUCAGAAAUGUUUGCUCCAGAAGGACAGCACAGAAAUCAUCUGAUUGCAGUAGAUAGGAAUCUCACGGAAUGUGCUGCCCCAUAAUUAAGUGCAUGUUUUUUUCCCUCUCUGAAAUAAUGCAACGUCCUUCAGAUACAGUUUUGCUUUCCUCUGUCCCUGCCCAAGGAGAGGUGCAGGCAUUUCCACUCACCUGGAAGGAAGGUGGCUUUAGGUGUGUGUGAAGCCCAGAGGGGAGAAACAGGAGCCCACUGGGAGUUGCUUAGGGCGCUCUGCUCUACCAGGCUGAGCUGAAAGGCACUUCUCAAAAGCAUUUGCAUUUCUGAAAGCACACGGAUCAAUCUGUGAGCUGCUGUCUGCUAAAGCACCAGACUUUUCAGAGCAGCGUGCCCAGAAGCGCUGGUAUUUGUGCUGAAAAUGUAAGUGUUCAUACAUGGCACUGCUUGCACUUCUCUCUCUUUAGUUGGGAUGUAAAAAAAAAAAAAAAAAAUACCAUUCUGCCUUUUCUAUUUUACCCAGAGAUCAAAUGUGGUAUCUUGCAACACUGUCACAGAGCCACAUGGAUAGGUGUUCCUCCCGACAGCUGCUCCUGUUGGAGGUAGCAGCUCCCAUGUAGCUGCUUCUGCACGUGGAAACUGCAGUGACAGACAACAAAACCAGGAUGACUUUUAGGCCCAGUAUUUUUAUUGCUGGGCUGGCAGCUGUAACUGCUCCCAGAGUCUGGCUUGCAGGAGAUGUCCUGGAAGCUCUUUGUGCAAUGCACGGAAUAACACAAGCGAGCAAGGCAAAACCAAAAGCAGGAUGCAGCAGUACUGAUGCCACUGAAAGCUUACACAGAGGUGAGAGUCAUUACGGCUUGUGGUCAAAGUUGUUUAUUUUUUUCUUGUCACAGGAUGUCAGACAAUACGAGGCCUUUUAGCAGCAUUUCAGACUUUUUGCUUUCCUUUCGAGUCAACAGAAACUCAGCUGCCUGAAGGUGGGUGAGGCCAAACAGCAGCACAAACCUUCCUCUGGAGGAAGGGACCCGAUCCCACUAACCUGCUCCACUGAGGUGCUGUGCAGCUUCAAUGCCAAGACACUGAUUUGAUAACUGUGGUUUCUUCUUACUGACCUGGCUGGGAAAAGCUGCCUUGUUGCUCAACAGCACUUUGUCUUCAUGAUUUAUAUGUUGCUUGACACAGCUAAGCAUGAUGCUGCAGUGUGAGAACUGCUUGCUGGCCGGCCGGCUGCAUGAGCUUCUCCACAGAAAGGUCUGUGCUGCGAACUGCUUUACUACCAACUGGGGCUUCUGCAAGAAAAGAAUGCAUCAGAAACACAAGAAUGUGUACGUUUGUUGUCAUGUUCCAUUCAAAAUAUGUAAAAGGAAAAAAAACUGUAAUUAACGUUGCAUUUAAGCCUGCUUGACUGUACUAAGCAUGACCUACAAGCCCAAGGAAUGCUACUGAGAUUUCCCUGAAAAAUGUUGAAACCGUUUAUUUGCCUGCUGAAUGGACUGAUUUUGAGAUAUGAGCAUGCUUUCCAUCGAAGAACAUCCUGAAAUUAAUUUCAGUUAAUGCCAUUUAUAUUACUCACUCUUCCCUGUUGAACUGGGCGUCCUGGAUUUCAACAUAUGCUGCUGUGCUGUGUAUUCCAGCUGUGACUGCAGCAGUGCUAAAUGUGUCUGCUUGAUGGAGAGCAUUAGCAGAACUCGGAUGUAGUCCAUCUAUUAGAUGGUUCUCCAGGAGGUGACAUUUCUGCACAGCUCAUCAGUGACAUCCCCUAUUCCCUCUCUUGGCCACAUUUGCAAGCUUCCAAACGUGUUUGUGAAUGUGACCAAAUUCUGGCCCUCGAGAUCAAAGGUCUGUCCACAUCUCUCUCUGGCACUACAGAUCUGGGAUGCUGCAAGCCAGUAUUCAAGAAUCCUGUCAAACUUGAGCAUAUCUGUGAUUUAUAAUGUAGAAAACCAUGUAGACUCUCAUCAUACACUUAGUACUCAACAGUCUACAGAAGCAGAACCUACCAAGAAAGCAAAUGUCAAAAAAGCAGCGUGAGCAAAGUUAAGAAUCUUCCACGUAAGGGGAUAUGUUUCUGGCUUGGAGCCAACCGGGGAGAAGAAGAAAUUCCUAAAUAUAGGAGCCCGGAAGGUGUGAAAGAACUGUUGGAUGCUGAAGUAUGUCAGGGACAAGAUUGGUGAUGAGUAAGAGCUUCCGCUGCUGGAAGCGGAGCGUGCUGGCAGGUAGCAGACUCCGUGAUCUUCUGAACAAGGAACAAAUCCUUGCUGAUCCUCCCCUAGUUGUGACAGUAAGUAUAAAUAUAUGAAAUCACCGAAAGAGGGAGUGAUGCUUGAGCACUCGUUUAAGAGUUCUGGCAACCUGACAGCAGUAAGCUCCACUUCCAAGUGAUGUAGAAGCAAUUUUCACUCUUGUGAAAACUCCCAUUUCUGAAAGUAGAUUGCCAAAAUAACUGAUGUUGAUCAUAUGGGACUGUGUGUCAUGCAUCGCAUAUAUCCGCUUAUUUGCUCUUUUUUGAUUUUGGUUUUGUUUAUCCAAAAAUAAUGGUAUCCUAUUGACAAAGGAUUCUUAUUUUUUUGUCAUAAGCACACAGCAAUACAGUGUUUUUUUCACACAGUACAGAGCCAUCCAUGUGUUUCUGUGUCAAGAAAUGCAGCGAUAACUUCUGCUCUGUCUGCUUACAGGAAUAGCUACUGCUUGAUGCCAGUCUGUAUUAUCUGCACUUCCCUCUGUCACUGAGAUGGGCUGGCUCAGCAGAACAAGUAUGAGCACAUAAGAGUGACAUUUUGUGUUUCUGAGGUAGUAAUAUCUUAAUUACUCUUAAAUCGUGAGCUUUUUGAGCAUUUUAUAUAUUGCAUAUACAUAUACAUUACCUAUUAUAUAUAAUAGAAGGGAAAGAUGAUUACAAGCACAAGAGAAGACACAUCACCUAAGAGUGCUGUAAGAAAAGAUCAGUGUGGAGGUAGAAACUCCUGUGAAGCUUACAGCAGGAAAGACCUGCCAUGGCCAAAUGCACAAGUUUGUUUCCCCUUAACAACUGUCAAUGGUUUUAAGAUUUUGAGAUGUAAUCAGUUACAGAGAUAACAAUCUCAAGGUAAAACAGAUACAGCUGCUGCCGUGGAACUAUCCUUUCAUUUCUUCCCCGUAUUCAGAGCAUUUUCAACAUUAAUUUUCACAUACACUUUAUGUCACAUAAUUUCUCUCUCAACAUUUAUUUAUUUGUACGUGAUUUUUAUGCUUACAGCUUACAAGCUAUCUGCCACAAAAGCUUUAAGAAUGCAGAAUGGAUUUCUCUACGGUCAUGAUCCGAAGGGAAUUUUAUCAGGGAGUUUCUGGGUUUGUUAUGGAGCAAAAGGUAAACAAAGGCACCUACAAGCUGGGAAGAUGGGCUUAGAUUUACCUGGGGCAGAUGGAUGCUGUCCUUACCAUGAACCCACGGCUCUUCUCUCCACCUGCAGAAUGUAUUUGUUCUUCUGUUGUACUGCACUUCUGCACUGAGAAUGAAGAGACUCAGUCCUGCUAAUAGACUGAGAAAAGAGAUUAAGCAUACAAGCUAAGGAUUCUGCAUAUUGAAAUACAGUAAAUCUGAAAAAUACUGGAAGACAUUGGUGGUUUGCUGGAGGUCACCUGGACAGGUACCUGGCAAGGCUAUCUCCCUGUGCCUCAGCUGCUUCACCUGCAAAGUGGGGAUAAUGACAUUCAGUCGCUUUUUAAAACCAUUUUAAGAUGCUCCACUUCCGUGUUCUGUAUCAAAGGGAAAUACUUCACUUUCAUAUACACUUUUGCGUAACUGAUGACAAAGUCCUUACAUUCUCUGCUUUAAGACUGCUGUUUCUCCUUCACCGGCUUCAGGAGCUGGAAUGAAAAAGAACAUCAUUAUUGCGUUUGCUCUCAAUGCCAUAUUAAAUCUCAAUCCUCUCGUCCCCCAGUCUGCAUGUACAGCCAGGAUGGCCCCAGCCCAGGUACAGAAUGCAGCGCUUGCUCUUGUUAAACUUCAUGUGGUUGAUUAUUGCCAGCCCUUCAAUUUGUUGAGAUCUCUGUGCAAGGCAGAUAUCCAAUACCCUACAGUGGUACAGCCAAUUGAGUAUCACAAAGAAAAUCAUAUGAAAGAGACAGUAAUCAAGACCGAAAUAAAUGCAUAUGCAUCUCUGCUCUGUAUUUCAAAUAUGUUUUGAAAACACGCUACAUUAAGAAACCCAAACACAUUUCAAUUCAAGUAAUGUUGCUUUUACAACCAUCGAGAGAAAAUGAGAUGUGGUAGAACUCUGCCACUUCCCAAGCAGCACAAUCACACAGCCUUAGUCUUUUUCUGGCUUCAGUAGUGCUUUCCAUUUCUAUUGAUCUCUGUGAAAUGUGGUCUCUACAAACGGAAAAGGCGCAUUUCCCAGACCAGUGGUGCUGCAGAGUAGCUGGGAUCUAUUAAAUGAAUGGGAAUAUUAAAAUGGAAUGGAAGAAAAGGACCAUCCUUACAAGUGCACAAUAGAUGGUUUAACCAUCAUAAUUAAGUAAAAUGUGAAGUCCAGUCAUAACACACUACAGACGUGAGAAAUGAGAGCUAUCAAGGAGAGUUUCUGUUCUCUGAAAACAACUCCUUGAUAUGUGAAGGAAAGGAUGGAAGGAGGAGCACAGAUGGCACAUUCUUAGCAAAACCCUUUCUCAAGAACAUCCCUACUGAUGUAGCUAGUAACAGUUAAACUGGUUUAUACCCGAAGAAUACAGAGCUGUUCAAUCAUUUGGAUCAGCUUAGUACACUCGACCUUAUGAAUCCUACUUACACCACAAUUGCCUAAAAUUGAAGAAAACAUCUCCUCAGAGGCAAAAAGUGGAAAGAUCUAAGUUUUCUUAGUGCCAUGCAAUGGGUAUGGCAGUCACAAAGGAACUGACACGUGGCAUGGUACAAAAUGAUACACGAUCUUUAAAGAGUAUUUUAUAAAGGCUGUUCUUGGGAGGGAAGAUGCCACUUCUAAGUUGAACAUGAGAAGCCAUUACUGACGAAUGUGGCAUUUGCACCAUGAUAGUUCAGAACAAUGGGAAAUCUGUCACUUGGAAUGUUUGCACAAUUCUAUGCACUAAUACUGCUUUGAAAGGUUUGGCAACAGUGACAGGCAAAAAAAGAAGGAAAGUUAAUGUAAACCUAUCAACAGAAGGAUUUGUUACUUCAAAUUAACAACUGGAUGAAGCUCUGACCGUAACAUUAUAUUGGGAACAAUUUCUCUUUUUGAAGUGCAAUGAAGUACGAAUUAUCAGUAUCUUUCUACCUAUCCCAGCAGCUCACCUGCUGCAGAAAGAGUUGGUUGUUGGCAAUCCUCAUCAAGCAUAACUAACAAAGUCAAUUGACACAACAAGUUCUACGGCUGGCAUUAUUUGGAGAAUGUUUUGUUGGCCCCUAGUGCCUGAGGAUGUAUGAAGGCAUACUCUUUUUGAGCACAUGUAGACUCACAGUCCCUUCAUGCUGGUGUUCACCUACAGACCUAUGACAUUGGCACCUAACCCCAACAGGGAUACGCCGUUCAGCUGACAAAGAAGCUACUCAUGGACUCUAAGCCUCAGCUUUACCUGUUAGACAUCAUUAGAUAUAUAACCACGUGAUACCGACUUUUCCCCUCCUGUUUAAUGCAUAGGAAAGCACAGCACAUAUGCACUGGAUUUCAUGAACAAAGGCUGUUUGUGCAUUCUAUACCCUGACAUGCAGCAAGGCUGUCAUCCCAUCACCAAGACACUCCUGUGUCCCCCACACUUGGACUAUUGGUAGAGAGUGGCGAGGUGGCUGCAGGACACCAGGAUCGCUCACGUGGCUUGUAGGUUGUCACCUGUCCAUAUCUGAGAAGCAAGGAGCAAGCCACGAACUUCCAUCUUCAUCAUCUCUUAGGGGCAGAACAUGCA
ensembl:lncRNA